GGCUCAGAUUGAACGCUGGCGGCAUGCUUUACACAUGCAAGUCGGACGGCAGCACAGAGAAGCUUGCUUCUUGGGUGGCGAGUGGCGAACGGGUGAGUAACAUAUCGGAACGUACCGAGCAGUGGGGGAUAACUAAUCGAAAGAUUAGCUAAUACCGCAUAUAUUCUGAGGAAGAAAGCAGGGGACCAUUUGGCCUUGCGCUGUUUGAGCGGCCGAUAUCUGAUUAGCUAGUUGGUGGGGUAAAGGCCUACCAAGGCGACGAUCAGUAGCGGGUCUGAGAGGAUGAUCCGCCACACGGGGACUGAGACACGGCCCAGACUCCUACGGGAGGCAGCAGUGGGGAAUUUUGGACAAUGGGCGCAAGCCUGAUCCAGCCAUGCCGCGUGUCUGAAGAAGGCCUUCGGGUUGUAAAGGACUUUUGUCAGGGAAGAAAAGGGCGGGGUUAAUACCCCUGUCUGAUGACGGUACCUGAAGAAUAAGCACCGGCUAACUAC
rnacentral:rRNA from 1 species